GGGGAAUAUUGGACACUGGGCGAAAGCGUGAUCCAGCCAUGCCGCGUGUGUGAAGAAGGUCUUCGGAUUGUAAAGCACUUUAAGUUGGGAGGAAGGGCUGUUACCUAAUACUCUGCAACUUUGACGUUACCGACAGAAUAAGCAGCGGCUAACUUCGUGCCAGCAGCCGCGGUAAUACGAAGGGUGCAAGCGUUAAUCGGAAUUACUGGGCGUAAAGCGCGCGUAGGGGGUUCGUUAAGUUGGAUGUGAAAGCCCCGGGCUCAACCUGGGAAAUGCAUCCAAAACUGGCGAGCUAGAGUAUGGCAGAGGGUGGUGCAAUUUCCUGUGUAGCGGUGAAAUGCGUAGAUAUAGGAAGGAACACCAGUGGCGAAGGCGACCACCUGGGCUAAUACAGACACUGAGGUGCGAAAGCGUGGGGAGCAAACA
rnacentral:rRNA from 1 species